rnacentral:rRNA from 1 species
UACGGAGGGGACUAGCGUUGUUCGGAAUUACUGGGCGUAAAGCGCACGUAGGCGGAUUUGUAAGUCAGGGGUGAAAUCCCGGGGCUCAACCUCGGAACUGCCUUUGAUACUGCAAAUCUCGAGUCCGGAAGAGGUGAGUGGAAUUCCUAGUGUAGAGGUGAAAUUCGUAGAUAUUAGGAAGAACACCAGUGGCGAAGGCGGCUCACUGGUCCGGUACUGACGCUGAGGCGCGAAAGCGUGGGUAGCAAACAGG